CCUGGUUGUGAGGUUCAGCCC
rnacentral:siRNA from 1 species